GCCCCACCGUAAAAUAUAUAUUUACACUAACAAACGCCAGGGUAUUACGAGCUUCAGCUUAAAACCCAAAGGACUUGACGGUGUCCCAUCCAACUAGAGGAGCCUGUUCUAUAAUCGAUAACCCCCGAUACACCUAACCCCCCCUUGCCAAUCAGCCUGUAUACCUCCGUCGCAAACUUACCAUAUGAAUGCCAAUAGUAGGUUAAAUGGUUACAUCACCAACACGUCAGGUCAAGGUGCAGCUCAUGAUGGGGAAAGCAAUGGGCUACAAUUUCUAAAAUAGAAUACACGGAAUGCUGCAUGAAACACAGCCGCGAAGGCGGAUUUAGUAGUAAAAAGAAAAUAAAGUGUCCUUUUUAAUAAGGCCCUGGGACGUGUACACACCGCCCGUCACCCUCUGCAGUCAA
rnacentral:rRNA from 1 species